rnacentral:rRNA from 1 species
GACGUAGGGGACGAGCGUUGUCCGGAUUCAUUGGGCGUAAAGCGCGCGUAGGCGGUUUGGUAAGUCGGAUGUGAAAACCAGAGGCUCAACUCGGGAACUGCGUCCGAUACUGGCGGGCUUGAAUCCGGGAGAGGGAUGCGGAAUUCCAGGUGUAGCGGUGAAAUGCGUAGAUAUCUGGAGGAACACCGGUGGCGAAGGCGGCAUCCUGGACCGGCAUUGACGCUGAGGCGCGAAAGCUAGGGGGAGCAAACGGG